rnacentral:rRNA from 1 species
AUUGAACGCUGGCGGCGUGCUUAACACAUGCAAGUCGAUCGGUAACAGGUGUAGCAAUACAUGCUGACGAGAGGCGGACGGGUGAGGAAUAUUUGGGAAUCUGCCCAUCAGCGGGGGACAACCCGGGGAAACUCGGGCUAAUACCGCAUACGCUCUACGGAGGAAAGCCGGGGACCGCAAGGCCUGGCACUGAUGGAUGAGCCCAAAUCGGAUUAGCUAGUUGGCGGGGUAACGGCCCACCAAGGCGACGAUCCGUAGCUGGUCUGAGAGGACGAUCAGCCACACCGGAACGGAGACACGGUCCGGACUCGUACGGGAGGCAGCAGUGGGGAAUAUUGGACAAUGGGGGAAACCCUGAUCCAGCGACGCCGCGUGGGUGAAGAAGGCCUGCGGGUUGUAAAGCCCUUUCGGUAGGGAAGAAAUCUCUUGUCUUAACACGGCAAGGGUUUGACUUAACCUACAUAAGAAGCACCGGCUAACUCUGUGCCAGCCGCCGCGGUAAGAC